UAAAAAUUCAAAUAUCCUUCAAAAUUAGAAUUACAGGGUGACAAUUAUUGAGCUAUAUGAAAAAACCUUGGUAAGUUUUGAACUGUUGGCGAGAUUCAGUUAAAACUUGGCAGUUGAAUGCAGGGCAUGUUGCAAUUUUUUUUGAGCAUGCACACUUUUGUUGUUGUUCAUUAUUCAGUGAAAAUGUCGCAAUACAGUGUUUCUGAGCAUAUAUUGAUUGUCAAAGCUUAUUAUUCGAGCAAUAACAGCCCGAUUGUGGCUCAAAGGAAAUUUGCAAUCAAGUACAAGCUGAAGACAACCAGUCCAAGUGUUAUAACAAUCAAAAAUUUGAUUCAAAGUUUGAGAGAGCUGGUAGUGUUUGUGAUGACAGUGUUGGCAAUGUUGGUCAUCGAGCAAGUGUGAAAAUGCCUGAAAAUAUCGAGAAAACAUGAACUGUGUUUCAAAAUACCCAAGGAAAUCAAUCAGACGAGCUGUACAACAGGUCAGAAUCAACCGGGAGACUCUGCGAUAAAUUGUUGUUCAAGACCUGCAGCUCUUUCCUUACAAAAUUCAAACUCAUCAGCCAUUGAACAGCAUUUGCAUUUCACCAACACUAUUGUCC
rnacentral:lncRNA from 1 species